AGAGUAGAGAGUAGAGAGUAGAGAGGCAGAAGGGUGGAUUUGAUCUCAGAGUAUUCUGAAUGGUAAGCAUUUUACUUAUCUUUAUACCGUUUGGCUUUCAAAUUGACGUGAAGUGUUAUUGUGGUGGUAGUAACUUGUUUUACCUCAUGCCUGUGGUGGUCCAAUUUGGUAUCCUCGUUUAGCUUGGCAUUUUAAGUAGAGGUGCACCUCUUUUAUUGGGUUUUACGGCUGCAAGAGAUCUGUAGUAUCUUAGAUUCUGAAAUUGUCAAUCUGGGCGGCACUGUUGUGCGUGGCAAGGAGUUGACAAUUGUAAACUUUCAGCAGAGCAGUUCAUUUGUUAAAAUGAUAAUUCAUCAGGAUACCAUAUUAAUCAUGUUUUUUUUUUAAAUUUUGGUCAAUGCAGAGUUCCAGAAGCUUAUGGCAGUUCCCCCUGAGAAAUUCAUGGCCCAUGUACACAUGCACUCAUGCACUGAGGUCAGUUGUCUGCGCCAAAGGGGAACCAACUGAUUAAAAGACUGCUUGCAACAUGGCUGUUUUCGACCAGCAGGCUCUUCCAGUACACGCAACAGGCUCCUGGCUUAUAAUCCCCAGGAGUGGCCAAGCAACCUCAGCCUCCUGUGAAAAUUGCCAGCUGACUUGGAUUUGAGUGAUAGGUAAGACCCUUUCUCCAGUACUGCUUUUGUGAUGUCAUGCAGGCUGUGUGACUGGUCUAAUGCUAUCUUCUGUUUAGAAGGCCUGACUGUUUUAUAAUGUGUCUGCUAACUGCAUCUGCUUCUAAUAUGUACUGAACUACUCCGUCUUUAUCUGCUGAGUUUAAAAUGUGCUGUGUGUGUGUGUGGCCAACUUGUCAGUUUUUAAAUGUUUCUGGUUGGGAAAAGUACUGUUGGGCUACCACGCAGGGCGAUUCAGAGACUCAACAAAACAGGCUCCUGCUUCAGGGCUCGCAAAAAGUGGUCAAGCAGCUUUAGCCUCCUGUGGAAAUUGCCUUGUGCAUCUGCCAACUUAGCGAUUUGAGUAACAGGUAAGACUUUUUUUUUUUUCCCAGUAAUGCUUGCAUGCAGGCGGUGGGACGGGUCUAGAAAAAUGUUUGCAACUGAUUGCAUAAUGUGUU
ensembl:lncRNA